AACGAACGCUGGCGGCAGGCCUAACACAUGCAAGUCGAGCGGACCUUUCGGGGUCAGCGGCGGACGGGUGAGUAACGCGUGGGAAUAUGCCCUUCUCUACGGAAUAGUCCUGGGAAACUGGGGGUAAUACCGUAUACGCCCUUUGGGGGAAAGAUUUAUCGGGGAAGGAUUAGCCCGCGUUGGAUUAGGUAGUUGGUGGGGUAAUGGCCUACCAAGCCGACGAUCCAUAGCUGGUUUGAGAGGAUGAUCAGCCACACUGGGACUGAGACACGGCCCAGACUCCUACGGGAGGCAGCAGUGGGGAAUCUUAGACAAGGGGGGCAACCCUGAUCGAGCCAUGCCGCGUGAGUGAUGAAGGCCUUAGGGUUGUAAAGCUCUUUCAGCUGGGAAGAUAAUGACGGUACCAGCAGAAGAAGCCCCGGCUAACUCCGUG
rnacentral:rRNA from 1 species